CUACGGGGUGCUCCAGUUAGGAAUAAUCUACAAUGCGCGAAAGCGUGAUAGUUUGAGCCAGAGUGUUUUUCAAUUGAAAGACUUUUGUGAAAUGUAAAAAGUUUCACGAAUAAGGACUGGGUAAGACUAGUGCCAGCCGCCGCGGUAAUACUAGCGGUCCAAGUCGCAACCAUUUUUAUUGGGUCUAAAACAUCCGUAGCUUGCUUGACAAGUCUUCUGUGAAAUUUUACGUCUAAAACGUAGAGCGCGCAGAAGGUACUAUCAAGCUCGAGACCGGAAGACGUAAGAAGUACAUUCAGAGUAGCGGUUAAAUGUGUUAAUCCUGGAUGGACUAACAAGAGCGAAGGCAUCUUACGAGGACGGUUCUGACAGUAAGGGAUGAAAGCUAGGGGCGCAAAUGGGAUUAGAUACCCGCGUAGUC
rnacentral:rRNA from 1 species